AGAGCGAACGCUGGCGGCAGGCCUAACACAUGCAAGUCGAGCGCCGUAGCAAUACGGAGCGGCAGACGGGAGAGUAACACGUGGGAACGUACCCUUCAGUUCGGAACAACCCAGGGAAACUUGGGCUAAUACCGGAUACGUCCGUAAGGAGAAAGAUUUAUCGCUGAAGGAUCGGCCCGCGUCUGAUUAGCUUGUUGGUGAGGUAACGGCUCACCAAGGCUACGAUCAGUAGCUGGUCUGAGAGGAUGAUCAGCCUCACUGGGACUGAGACACGGCCCAGACUCCUACGGGAGGCAGCAGUGGGAAUAUUGGACAAUGGGCGCAAGCCUGAUCCAGCCAUGCCGCGUGGGUGAUGAAGGCCCUAGGGUUGUAAAGCCCUUUCGGCGGGAAGAUAAUGACGGUACCCGCAGAAGAACGCCCGGCUAACUCGUGCCAGCAGCCGC
rnacentral:rRNA from 1 species